UUAAGCAAUAAGUCAAGUAUUAUUCUACAUAGGUUAUUGUUUUAUUGAUAUUCAUGAAUAAUUAUCUAUUUAUUAAAGCAUCUUGGCUACAUGUAUUAAGUCUCUUAGGACUGCUGCAACAAAUUACAUCACUAAGGGGCUUAAAAUAACAGACUUUUAUUCUUUCAGAUUUCAAGAGGUUAGAAGUGUGAAGUCAAGGUACGAAAGGGCUGUACUCCCUUUGAAGGCUCUAAGGAGAAUCUUUUUCUUUGUUUCUUCUUCAAAGCCCUGGCAGAUUUGGUGUCUGGAGAGGACUCACUUCCUGGUUCAUAGACUCUUUGUCUUGCCGAAUCCUCGUGUGGUGGAAGAGCUGGGACACUGCAGCACGAAGGUCCAGAAAGGCAAGUGACCUGACCUGGUGGUGGAGUUGGAAGAUGAGCUCACUCUUCUCAACCUCAGCACAGAUGAUUCCCACUGCACUCGCCCCCACCCUCUUUAUUACCACGUCCCACUGUGCGGCCAAUAGGACGAUGUGAUUUCAGGGGUCUUAGAACUGUUGCAGGGGAACCAAAGUCGAAAUGUUUGCCUUGAACACUCCGCCUCAGGAGUGCUUUUGAUGACUCAGUCCCUGUGAUAUUGUGAUUUAUAGUAAGAAAUACAUACGUGGUCUCUGUCCCCUUUUCUGGCACAGAGCUUCUAAAACCCUUGAGAUUUCCUAAGUGAUGAGGGCAGUCAAGGUGUCUUUGGUUAAGUUAAUGAGGUGACUUUUGGAAAGCACCUGAAGAUGGGGGCUGGUUGCCAAGAGAACCGACCGUGUGGUGAGAGUGUUGCAACUUUCAGUCUGUCUGCUCCCCCCGCCCCCAUCUCUGGAGGAGGGGCUGGAGACCCAGUUCAGUUGCCAACGGGCAAUCAUUUGAUCAACCACGGCUACGUAAUAAAGCCUCAGUAAAAAUACAAAGGAUGGGGUUCAGAGAACUUCCUCAUUAGCAAAACGAAGGAGACGUGGCAAGAGUGUUACACUUGGAGAGGGCACGAAGCUCUGUGCCCCUUCCCCUUCCCUUGCCCUAUGCAUCUUUUCCAUGGGCUAUUCCUGAGUUACAUCCUCUGAAAGAAACUGGUAACAAUACCAGUUUAUUCUUAUUACCAGUAAGUAAAAUGUUCCCCGGAGUCUUGCAAGCUGCUCUAGCAAACUAAUUGAACGCAAAAUGGGGUUUGUGGGAGUCUCCGAUUUAUGACCAGUCAGAAGCACAGGAAAUAACCUGGACUUGUGAUUGGCUCAGAAAUGGGGGCGGGGGGGCACUCUUGUAGAACUGGACCCUUCAAAUGCAGAGUCUGAUGCUCUCUCUAAGUAGAUAGUGUCAGAAUUGAGUUGAAUGGUAGGCCACCCCACCGGUGUCUGAGAAUUGCUUGGUAUGGAGGACAAAAAAAACCCCUUAUACCUUGGAAUUAGUGACAUCGGGGUUCAGAAUAGCUUAUGCCAAAAUAUGCCACUUUGGUAUAUUGAUUAUUUUAAAUUAAAGGUACUUGAGAAACAGCUGGUCCAAGAAACACCGUCUGAAAAUAGGAACUACAUUUGCCAUGUGAAAGGUACCUUCCCUGUGGCAGAAGCGUGGAAGGCAUCCUUAUCACUAGACACAGGGAAUUUAGGGCUGAGGAAGGCUGUAUAAACAAAUCUCAUUACUUCUUCACCAUUUUACUACCCUUAGCUCAAACCCCUUUGUCUUGUCAAUUCUUUACGGACUCACUGUUUCUUUGUCUAAAAGGCGUAAAAGCUUCUUGUUCUGGUCCCUUCUUUGAGUCUCAUAUCUUUGUGGGGCUCCUGGAUGUGCAUGUGCAAUUAAAUUCGUUUUGCUCCUGUUGGUCUGUCUUUCUAUGACAGGGGUGGUCUCAGCCAAGGACCUAGAAGGGUAGAG